UGAGAUGUUGAGAUGCCUGACUGCUAGGAGCUGAGCAGGCUACCUAAAGUGGAGCAGGGCUGGGGAAAGGCUAGAGGAGCUGGGGAGCUCCAGCCUGAGAAACCCCCAGGCUGCAGGCCUUGAUGAAGCCCUAGGAAAAGGGUACUGGUGUUGCAGAGGGCAGCCCAAGGGUAGGCAGAAGCAGCAGGUCUAGACCCUCCUUGCCAAUGAUAUGGGGCAAUUAUACUGCAGUCUGCCCCAGGGAGCAGGUGUUAGAGGGUGAUUGUCAGUUGCCAAGACUGAGGUGAGGUGGGGAUAGAGGGUAAGAGUUCCCUGGGGGGCAGGGAGACCCAGAUCUGUAGGGGUACUGCCAGGGGGCAGCACCCCAGUGUGAAAGGGGCACUGGGGUCUGGGAGGGACACAGGGGCCAGCGGCAAGUGGGACACCAGCCUGUGGAGGGCACUCUGGAGGCUGGAAACACUAAUUCCCUGGAUGACCAGCAGGAGGUGCUGCAGGGGUCACCUGUCCAAGAGGUGGGUUUCGGGCAGCUGUGGUGCCAGACUACAAACUACUCAUCCCUCCUGGCGAAAGGGCAGGACCAUAGGUGCAAGAGUCAAGUACGUCCUACAUGAGCCAGCAGCACGGCCAGCAUCCUGUGUUCAAAAUUGUGAGACUGGGGUAAAAGGUCAGGAGACUGGCAUAAGAAUCACGAGACUGGCUUUAACAUGGGGAGAUGGGUGUAAAAAUGAUGCAACUGGCAUGUAAAGAUUGGCCUGGAAGUCAUGAGAUCGUUGUAAAAUCGUGAGGUUUGAAAAUAUCAUGGGGUUUUCUUGGCUCCCUGGUUUCUGAGCCUUUCUGGGUCCCGUUACUCCCAUUUUCUGCCCUUUCGUGAUUUCAAUAACAGCUGAGGUUUGCCUGUCACCCGUGACUCCAGAAGCUGGUGCCUGAUGGAACAAAGUCACAUCGAAUCUCAUGAUACACUUGGGAUCGCUGGAACGCUGCGGCCAAGGAAGGAGGAGCUGGCAGCCCUGGGAUCACAGCUCCUUUCUGCUUUUCUUUACCAGUCACCUACACAGUGCUUUGCAAAAUCCGGGAGGAGGAUCUCACCAUCCGCAAUACAUGAGACUCCCCUCUCCCUGGGCUCAGCCUGCUGGGGGUGGGGGCUACGGUCCCUGUUCAGCCCCACCUCUUGUCUGGCUUGAGGACCGGGUCCUCCCAGUGUAAUGGUCUCUUGCAGGAGGCUAAAUCUGAGCUGUCUGCAUGGUCCAUGCUGUGGGGAGGGAUGACCCCUCCUCCCCAAAAGCAACAUGCAGGAGCCCAGGUGCACAUGUGUAGCAGAGAUGUCUGGCUCAUCUGCUUAAUUAGCAGUUCAUUGACUGUGGCGGGGGGGGGGGGGGGAGGGUGCGGGGGAGGUGCACCGGGCAUCACUCUUCCUGAAGAGCAGCUUGGGGAGCCAGCAGCUCGCCCUGUUUGGAUCAGGGCCGGGGCGAGGAUCUGAUCCCCCGCCCAGUGCCUAGGGAGAGGGUGGGCAUCGGCUGGAGGGGGGGUCUCAGGAGAGCACUGGGCCCCAUGUGCUGCGUAGCUGACUCAGUGACCCACAACCAUGGAGUCGGCGGGGGUGGGGGUCGCGAGAGACGGUGCCCAAUAAGCCGCCCUGAAGAUGGGCCCCAGCCCCGGAUCUGGACCCAAACUGCCCCAUCCUUGAGGGCUUCCAGCUCUGGUCUGUUUGAAGGAGGGGCCCUGAGCUGCCGUCUGCGCUAGGGGGAGGCGCCGGGUGAGCGGCGCUGGAGGCUGGCGCCUUCUCUCCAUCUACAGAACAGGGCCAGUACCGCCAGUGCCAAAGCACUCUCCCCCUGCGAUGCCAGGGGGACCUCCCAUGCCCAAGGGGACAUGAGAGUGGCUCAGGCUCCAUGUCUCAGCCCGUCCUUGGCAGCUGCCCAUGUGGUGCCUUUUGGGAGGUGGAAACAUGGGCACUAGGUGCUGGGCUGAGACCCCCUGACUCAUUACACACCACGGUGGAAGGGGUGGUUAAAUGCAAAGGCUGCCAAUCCCUGAGGGUCACGUGGCUCCCAGUCCCCC